GUGACCUCGGAUCAGUAG
rnacentral:rRNA from 3 species